rnacentral:rRNA from 1 species
GACGAACUGUGCGAACGUUGUUCGGAAUCACUGGGCUUAAAGGGCGCGUAGGCGGACCGUCAAGUCCGGGGUGAAAUCUUUCGGCUCAACCGGAAAAGUGCCUCGGAUACUGGCGGUCUCGAGCGAGGUAGGGGCAGGCGGAACUUCCGGUGGAGCGGUGAAAUGCGUUGAUAUCGGAAGGAACUCCGGUGGCGAAGGCGGCCUGCUGGACCUCUCCUGACGCUGAGGCGCGAAAGCUAGGGGAGCAAACGGG